GCCUGGGUGGCUCAGUGGGUAGAGCAUCUGACUUCCGCUCAGGUCAUGAUCUCGCGGUUUGUGGGUUCGAGCCCCGCGUCGGGCU